UUGUACAGUAAAAUUAAAUUUAAUUAAUUAAUUAAUUAAAAAUCUCAUCUGAUAUUGGAAGCUAAGCAGGGUCAGGCCUGGUUAGUACUUGGAUGGGAGACCUCCCAGAAAUACUGGGUGCUGUAGGCU
rnacentral:rRNA from 1 species